GAAAAAUGGCAUGUUCCAGCCACCUCCGAUCGGCUUCCAUAACUCCCGUCCCAUCCCAUGUUCCAUGUUCAGGAACAAACAAACAAACAAACGGAACGAAAACCCCCCGACACGCCCCCAACAGACCGGACGCGGGCGCCCGCCGAUCCUCUGAAGCUUCCGCCUUUUUUCUUUCCAUCCAUCCAACAAUUCCAAUCCGCGCUGUGAUUCUUCCUCCCCUCCCCGCGCCGCCUCCCCUGAUUUCUUUUCUCCCCACCCGCCGGAUUCGGCCCCCUCCCUGCGCUCCUCAGCUGCCAUCCUCCCCCAGCCGAAAUCCGCUGCAGCGGCGGCGGCGGCGGCGCCGAGCCAGGCCAGCUGGUGCUCUGGCUGCGGGCUGAUUGAUUGCCUUCCUGCCGGUAAGGAACCCUAGCUGGUCAGCUCUUCGUCUCCCCCUUUUGCUCCGGCAGUUCGAGCGAUCAAGAACCGAAGCCCUCUCCCCUCUCCGUGCAGGCGGCGGCCGAUUCGUUUGGUCGGGCGGCGCCGUCUUCUCCGCCAAUCAAGAUCGAUCUGGGCUCUGACGGCGGCCCCUCGCGAGCUGCUGCCCAGCCGCGGCCGUCGUCGGGGACAUGAAGGCCGCGCCGCUGCCCCGCACGAGAGCGGCGGCUUCUCCGAGGCGGCGCGCGUGGAUACUCGCCGUCGCGGCCAUCGUCUCCGUCGUGGUGGUCUGGGCCUACCACUACCCGCCCCGGCAUUACGCCUCCCCCGUCAGCAACUGGCUCCCGGUGGAGCCCGACAGGGAGCUCACCGACGACGAGAGGGCCUCGCGCGUCGUCUUCGGCCACAUGCUCUCCACGCCUCCUGUUCGGUCCAGGGGGUCCAAGAUUGCCUUCAUGUUCCUCACCCCGGGCAACUUGCCGUUUGAAAAACUAUGGGAGAAAUUCUUCGAGGGUCAUGAGGGAAGAUAUACCAUAUAUGUUCACGCCUCGAGGGAGAAGCCAGAACAUGUCAGUCGCUUAUUUAUUGGUCGAGAUAUACACAGUGACAAGGUACAGUGGGGUCAGAUUUCUAUGGUUGAUGCUGAGAGGAGGUUGUUGGCGAAUGCUCUACAAGACAUUGACAACCAGCAUUUUGUGCUGCUUUCUGACAGCUGCGUACCUUUGCACAAUUUUGACUAUGUGUAUGACUACCUGAUGGGAACAAAUCUCAGUUUUAUUGACUCCUUCUAUGAUCCUGGACCACACGGAAAUUUUAGAUAUUCGCAAAAUAUGUUACCUGAGGUUAGAGAGUCUGACUUCAGGAAGGGUUCACAGUGGUUCUCAGUCAAGCGGCAACAUGCAUUGAUGACAAUCGCGGACAGUCUUUACUAUACAAAGUUCAAGCUUUAUUGUAAGCCAGGAAUGGCAGGUGGACGCAAUUGCUAUGCCGAUGAGCAUUAUAUGCCAACACUAUUCAAUAUGAUGGAUCCAAAUGGAAUAGCGAAUUGGUCCGUAACUCAUGUUGACUGGUCAGAAGGAAAGUGGCAUCCAAAAGCUUAUCGGGCGCAAGAUGUCACUCAUGGGCUCCUCAAGAAUAUAACUUCAAUCGACGUGAGCCAUCAUGUUACAAGCGAUAGCAAGAAAGUGGUUACACAGAACCCUUGCUUAUGGAAUGGAGUGAAGAAACCAUGCUACCUGUUCGCAAGGAAGUUCUACCCUGAGUCCAUGAACAACCUCAUGUACUUAUUCUCGAAUUACACCCUCUUUUGAGUGUGCUGUGCUCAUCCCACAUACUACAGGAAUUUACAGGAGGUAUUUUUGCUAUAGAAACAUGUGUACAUUUGGAAGGACAUUAGAUCUAUUGACAAGUUGGUGGAUAUAGAAGAAAAUACGGAGAAGGCAUUCGCUGCAGUAAUCGAGUGGUUCCCAAUCCCAUCUCCAUCUCAGGCCAUUUUAACUCGCUCCAGGACAUCACAUAUUUAGGACGACCAUGUCUUUUUACUAGUUUCUUUACAGAUUUUGUCACUGAUUCAGUGAUGUAUAGUAAGAUUACUGUAACUCGGAAAAGCCAUUAGAUGAUGUCCAUUAUUGGUUACACUAAUACCACUGAGUCUGCUCAAAGCUCCGUCGAAUCAUUUCGCUUGUUCAAGUGGCUGUCAUGUUUUUGCAUUUCAUAUUUCCACGGUACUUGCUUGAUUUUGAAAUAGAAGGUGCAUUUUUUUUGGAAAGUCCAAUUUUUUUUGUGACCAAA
rnacentral:rRNA from 1 species